GUUUGGUUCAUGGUGGUGGUGAAUAAAGGUGUGUUUGGUUCAUGGUGGUGUUGAAUAAAGGUGUGUUUGGUUCAUGGUGGUGUUGAAUAAAGGUGUGUUUGGUUCAUGGUGUAGAAUAAAGGUGUGUUUGGUUCAUGGUGUUGAAUAAAGGUGUGUUUGGUUCAUGGUGUUGAAUAAAGGUGUGAUUGGUUCAUGGUGGUGUUGAAUAAAGGUGUGUUUAUUUCAUGGUGUUGAAUAAAGGUGUGAUUGGUUCAUGGUGGUGAUGAAUAAA